CCUACGGGUGGCAGCAGUAGGGAAUUUUCCACAAUGGGGGCAACCCUGAUGGAGCAACGCCGCGUGCAGGAUGAAUGCCUUCGGGUUGUAAACUGCUUUUAUAUGUGACGAAUAUGACGGUAGCAUAUGAAUAAGGAUCGGCUAACUCCGUGCCAGCAGCCGCGGUCAUACGGAGGAUCCAAGCGUUAUCCGGAAUUACUGGGCGUAAAGAGUUGCGUAGGUGGCAUAGUAAGCGAGUAGUGAAAGCGUGUGGCUCAACCAUACUCACAUUACUUGAACUGCUAAGCUCGAGGAUGAGAGAGGUACCUGGAAUUCCCUGUGUAGGAGUGAAAUCCGUAGAUAUAGGGAGGAACACCGAUGGCGUAGGCAGGGUACUGGCUCAUUUCUGACACUAAUGCACGAAAGCGUGGGGAGCAAACGGGAUUAGAUACCCCAGUAGUC
rnacentral:rRNA from 1 species